rnacentral:rRNA from 1 species
UACGAAGGGUGCAAGCGUUACUCGGAAUUACUGGGCGUAAAGGGUGCGUAGGUGGUUUGUUAAGUCUGCUGUGAAAUCCCCGGGCUCAACCUGGGAAUGGCAGUGGAUACUGGCAAGCUAGAGUGCGGUAGAGGGUAGUGGAAUUCCCGGUGUAGCAGUGAAAUUCGUAGAUAUUCGGAAGAACACCAGUGGCGAAGGCGACUUACUGGACACGUAUUGACGCUGAGGUGCGAAAGCGUGGGGAGCAAACAGG